GACGAACGCUGGCGGCGUGCUUAACACAUGCAAGUCGAACGGUGAACCUCUUCGGAGGGGAUCAGUGGCGAACGGGUGAGUAACACGUGGGCAACCUGCCCCCGGCUCUGGGAUAACUCCAAGAAAUUGGGGCUAAUACCGGAUGUUCACCGCUUCCCGCAUGGGUGGUGGUGGAAAGGGUUUCCGGCUGGGGAUGGGCCCGCGGCCUAUCAGCUUGUUGGUGGGGUAGUGGCCUACCAAGGCGACGACGGGUAGCCGGCCUGAGGGGGUGACCGGCCACCCUGGGCCUGGGGACGGGCCAGGACUCCUAGGGGGGGCAGGGGGGGGGAUUAUUGGGAAUGGGGCGGAGGCCUGACGCAGGGACGCCGCGUGGGGGAAGCCGGCUUUCGGGUGUUAAACCUUUUUCAGCGGGAACGAGGCGCAGGGAGCGGACCCGGAAAAAGAAGCCCCGCCCAACUCAUG
rnacentral:rRNA from 1 species